AUUGAACGCUGGCGGCAUGCCUAACACAUGCAAGUCGAGCGGAUGAGGGGAGCUUGCUCCUGGAUUCAGCGUCGGACGGGUGAGUAAUGCCUAGGAAUCUGCCGGGUAUUGGGGUAUAACGUCCGGUAACAGGCGCUACUACCACAUACGUCCUGAGGGAGAAAGUGGGGGAUCUUCGGACCUCACGCUAUCAUAUGAGCUUAGUUCGGAUUAGCUAGUUGGUGGGGUAAAUGCCUACCAAGGCGACGAUCCGUAACUGGUCUGAGAGGAUGAUCAGUCACAUUGGAACGGAGACAGGGUCCAGAGUCCUACGGGAGGGCGCAGUGGGGAAUAUUGGACAAUGGGCGAAAACAUUAUCCAGUGAUCGCGAGUGUGUGAAGAAGGUCUUCGGAGUGUAAAGCACUUCAUCUUGGGGGGAAGGGCAGUAAGUUAAUACCUUGCUGUUUUGACGUUACCAACAGAAUAAGCACCGGCUAACUUCGUG
rnacentral:rRNA from 1 species